rnacentral:lncRNA from 1 species
GGGUUCCCCGGUCGCUGCGCCGCAUCCCUCCGCUCAAGGCAACCCUCGAUCGCCGGCUCGCUGGAGCACCAAGGCAACCAAUUGAUGCCCUGGUUGUGUGUGACGGAUGCAGUUCUCACGCACAAGCUAGGGUUGGAGCUGUCGGCUCUUCAUCCUGCCCGGCGGAGGCGAGUCUUCCCGUCCCGCAUUGUCGCCUCCCCAUUAUCACAGGUACCUCCACCCCUUCCUCUUUCCCCCUCUUCUCUCCUCUCCCUUCUCACUCCUCCAUCUCUGUUCCCUUCCCCCUCCCACCAUAGUUAUCUGUUCAUCUUGUUGGCACCUGAAGAAGUUGGUGGCAUGGUGAAGCCCCAGAGCAAAAGUUGCAGGAGUCUUUGAAGGAGUUGGAGAAGUCUCUAGCGAUGCAAGUUCGUCUUAAACCUGAUUCCGGAUCCAAUUUCAUGGGUACAAGCAUAUAUUCCAUGAAUUUUCCAUUAGGUUCAGUGGACAAUGUCCUCAACGACACUUGCACACCCUAAACCCUAAAAGAAACAACUAGAUGCCUUGGGUAAUUUUGGCUGCAUCCGCCUUGGUUAGUUGGUUUACAUGUGAAUUCACACGUUUAAAGGGCAUGUGAUGAUUAACUUUAUAAGUAUUUAUCCACGUUCUAAAGGAAUUACAUAGGAUGCAGUAGUGCAGACAUUCAAAGGAGGUGAGAAGUGUACAUAUGCUUUAUGUUAGUUAUAUGCACAGAGCAGCAUAUCAAUAUAGAAGUGUCAUUCAGACAGAGCUCUUUGAAUAUAAUAAGACAAAAGAUCAGUUGCCUGAUUUUUUUAUAAGAAGAUUCUUCUAUAUGUUCAGUUACAUGAUUUUUAAUUUGAUCAUCUUCUUUGAACAAUUUUUGUGCUGAAUAUGAUAUUUCUUUUGAUUUAUAGGUUCACCUGGGUCAUCCUUAAUUUACUCCUCACAUAAUAAUUGUGAGACCUAAUGAGGUACUUCUGAAAAAUGCUACCUCCUCUCUAAUAUCUAUUUGGUUACACAAGUUUAUGCUUGUGUGGUCUGGUUGUUCCUAAUUGCUUUUGGACAUUAUUAUUUGUGUGAUCAACAUUGAGUAGAUUGCCUGCAGCAAUAUAACUUGAGUUUUUUUACUUAAGUAAAUGAUACGUAAGUAGCUCUAAGUUAACAUAAUGUUUGUCUUAUCUUUAUCUUGCAGCAAAUUGAUAUAUGGGAUUUGGGAGUAAAUAGCUACAUCAUCGUUAAGUGAUAUCCCUUGUACAUUUUGAAACAACCAGAAUUUACAUCAGUAUAUUACUUUGAGGCGAAGUGCAGUUCUCAUAUAUUUCAUAAUAGCAUAUAGAUCCAAACAGAAGUUUGUUUGCUACAACAUGAUUAUGUUGCUUCCUUUUUUUCUGAGAUAUGUACAUGUUCUCUCAACAAAAAUGUACAAGGAAAAGUAUUAUCUCCAAAAUAAUCAGGGCUAAGCCAAUAGUUGGAUAUGGCCCAUUUGAUACUGCUACUGCAGAAAUAGAUCCCCCUACACAUCUAGCGUACAGGUAAAUAGUUAAAGAAAAACAUUGCAGGAAGUUGAGAUUGAAAACCUGUACAUGUUGGCUUUAGCUUCAUAUGAACAUUCUUUUGAUGGAUCUUGCAACAGAACGAAAUAAAACAAGAUUACUUAAAUCCUCAGGCAGGAGGAUAAAAUUGCUGUUGGGACUCAGGUGAAAGCUGCGUUGGAGAAGAGUACAUGCAAAAAUAAACAAUCAUGGUGCACUGUAAGUCCUCCCGCUGAUUUCUGAACAAUAAACAAUGAUGAUGCUCUCUUCACUGCAGAUAUUCUAAAAUUAAGGGAGUCACAAUUCUUGACUAGAUCAUAUGGGUACGCUAUAUGAAAAUGUACAAGGUGGUGUAGCAGGAGUUGAAAAAAAUGCAACUCAAAGUGAGUGCAAGUGCAUAAUGUCCUAGAAUUAUUUUUCGGCGAAAGUUAGUAUCUUCUCAAUAAGUAACAGCACUGUAAAUUUCGAGAAGUGGGAAAUCAAAAUCAAUACCUUUCUUAUAAUUUAGGAGGGGCUCAUGUGGAAUUAUGGUUUUUCUUUAGCUCAUGGGAUGCCCAAAUUGUGGGCAAGAUUAAGGCCUACCAGCCCCUUUGUACCAUGCUAUAUUGCUCUUGAGGUUUACUAUUCAUUUGAGCUAAUGAUAUAUGAUCAUGGAAUUAAAGAGGUGGAACACACCGGCCAUGUAUUACUAGCAAAUGACAUCGGCAUCAUGUAUUGGCGAUUUGUUAGUCAAGCAUACUAACAAGUACUGUCAAGAUUUGUUUUUCAUUCUCUA